UCGCCCAUUUUGGCACUAGCACAUUUUUGCUUCUGUAUGUAUACUUUGAGCAAUUAUGUGUAGUGCCAAUAUAGGAGA
rnacentral:pre_miRNA from 13 species